UACGGGGGGGGCAAGCGUUGUUCGGAAUUACUGGGCGUAAAGGGCUCGUAGGCGGCCAACUAAGUCAGACGUGAAAUCCCUCGGCUUAACCGGGGAACUGCGUCUGAUACUGGAUGGCUUGAGGUUGGGAGAGGGAUGCGGAAUUCCAGGUGUAGCGGUGAAAUGCGUAGAUAUUGGGAAGAACACCGGUGGCGAAGGCGGCCAACUGGACCAUUUCUGACGCUGAGGCGCGAAAGCGUGGGGAGCAAACAGG
rnacentral:rRNA from 1 species